rnacentral:rRNA from 1 species
GAACGCCCCGCAAGGGGAGUGGCGGACGGGUGAGUAACGCGUGGGAACCUGCCCUAUGGUUCGGGAUAACUCGGCGAAAGCCGUGCUAAUACCGGAUGUGUCCUGAGGGAGAAAGAUUUAUCGCCACAGGAGGGGCCCGCGUCGGAUUAGCUAGUUGGUGGGGUAACGGCCUACCAAGGCGAUGAUCCGUAGCUGGUCUGAGAGGAUGAUCAGCCACACUGGGACUGAGACACGGCCCAGACUCCUACGGGAGGCAGCAGUGGGGAAUAUUGGACAAUGGGGGCAACCCUGAUCCAGCAAUGCCGCGUGAGUGAUGAAGGCCUUAGGGUUGUAAAGCUCUUUUGGCAGGGACGAUGAUGACGGUACCUGCAGAAUAAGCCCCGGCUAACUUCGUG